rnacentral:rRNA from 1 species
GCAUAUCAAUAAGCGGAGGAAAAGAAACUAACCAGGAUUGCCUCAGUAAGGGCGACUGAAGUGGCAAUAGCUCACCAUGUGAAUCUGCGUAAGCCGAAUUGUGGUUUCGCUUGUGUUAGGGGCUGGGCCAAGUCCGUUGGAACACGGCAGCUGAGAGGGUGAGACUCCCGUUUACCUGGCCCUUGGAACAAGUGUGUUCGAGUCGAGUUGUUUGGGAAU